rnacentral:lncRNA from 1 species
UUCGUGCUCAAUUCGUACUCACUCGAUUAAAAGUUCGAUUCGAGCUCGACUCAAAAUAUAAAUGAGUCAAAUAUGAGCAAAUUUUAAAGUUCGAUAAAUUACUCGAACCUCCUCAAAUUGUAAUUUUCUUCGUUCGAAAAGUUUAAACUGCUCGGACUCGACUCGGAAUCGUGCUCGACUGAGUACCUAAAUGAGCCUUAAUCAAAUCUUAUUUUAUACUCAAUAAAUUUUGUGAACCAAAUUUGAGCAACUCAAUACUCGGUUUGACUCGGUUCGUUUACACCCUUAUAGAAAACUGAUAAAUUUCCAAUAAAAAAUGAUAUUUCUAUAUGAAAAUCGUCGCUAUAUAGGAACGGUAAAAACCGUCACUAU